rnacentral:tRNA from 6 species
GGCCCUGUGGAGCAGUUGGUUAGCUCGCCACCCUGUCAAGGUGGAGGUCGCGGGUUCAAGUCCCGUCAGGGUCGCCA